AGAGUUUGAUCAUGGCUCAGGAUGAACGCCGGCGGUGUGCCUAAUACAUGCAAGUCGAGCGCACUGGCCCAACUGAUAUGACGUGCUUGCACUGAAUUGACGUUGGAUUACCAGUGAGCGGCGGACGGGUGAGUAACACGUGGGCAACCUGCCCUGAAGUGGGGGAUAACAUCUGGAAACAGGUGCUAACACCGCAUAACAACGAAAACCACAUGGUUUUCGUUUCAAAGAUGGUUUCGGCUAUCACUUCAGGAUGGGCCCGCGGUGCAUUAGCUAGUUGGUAAGGUAACGGCUUACCAAGGCAAUGAUGCAUAGCCGAGUUGAGAGACUGAUCGGCCACAAUGGAACUGAGACACGGUCCAUACUCCUACGGGAGGCAGCAGUAGGGAAUCUUCCACAAUGGGCGCAAGCCUGAUGGAGCAACACCGCGUGAGUGAAGAAGGGUUUCGGCUCGUAAAGCUCUGUUGUUGGAGAAGAACGUGCGUGAGAGUAACUGUUCACGCAGUGACGGUAUCCAACCAGAAAGUCACGGCUAACUACGUGCCAGCAGCCGCGGUAAUACGUAGGUGGCAAGCGUUAUCCGGAUUUAUUGGGCGUAAAGCGAGCGCAGGCGGUUGCUUAGGUCUGAUGUGAAAGCCUUCGGCUUAACCGAAGAAGGGCAUCGGAAACCGGGCGACUUGAGUGCAGAAGAGGACAGUGGAACUCCAUGUGUAGCGGUGGAAUGCGUAGAUAUAUGGAAGAACACCAGUGGCGAAGGCGGCUGUCUGGUCUGCAACUGACGCUGAGGCUCGAAAGCAUGGGUAGCGAACAGGAUUAGAUACCCUGGUAGUCCAUGCCGUAAACGAUGAGUGCUAGGUGUUGGAGGGUUUCCGCCCUUCAGUGCCGGAGCUAACGCAUUAAGCACUCCGCCUGGGGAGUACGACCGCAAGGUUGAAACUCAAAGGAAUUGACGGGGGCCCGCACAAG
rnacentral:rRNA from 2 species